GCCUAGAAGUCUUCACAUCCGGAAACUGGGUCUCUGGCCAAGGAAAGACCUGGGUCAGGUUACGCAAGAUAACGAAAAUAUUAGCAUCUUAGCCUUUAGUCUUGGGGACCAAGCCCUAAGGACGAUAGCCUCCUGUCCAAGUCGGACUCGAAAUUUCUAUUUGAUGUCUCCCUGCUCCAGGAGCCACUCGUUUGUGGCCAAAGAGGAGGCAAGGACCUGGGUUUGUGCUCCUUUGAGACAGAGAAUGAACUGAACAUACUGUGGCAAGUUCCUUUACCUGAUUACAUCUCAGCACUGCUCUGAGCUGAGAUGGGGACAGAGCCUCCAGAACUCCUGUGAGAAGCUCGGCCAUGACAGCAGUCGGGCUAUGGGAAGGUGUUACCUAGGAUGCCAGCUGGCUACAUGGUCCCCAGAGGUUUACAGUGAUGCUGCCAUGUUCUUCCAGGCCAGAGGAAGAAAGCUUGGCUAACUCACCACAUUUCCAAACAACCCUGGAGUGUUGAGAUAUCUUCUCUCUGAUGGGAAGCAGGCCUGGUUCUUUGGGAAUAAGGGCAGUUAGAAUGGUGCCAUUCCUUUCUAUUUCACUUUCCUAACAUUAUUGAGGGCCAUGAAGUUCCUUUCUGAGUCACAACACCUAAACAUAUGGACGACUUGAGGCUUUUAGACAGACAUUAAGAAAUGACAAAUCUGUAUGCUCCACAUGUUCCUGCUGCUGGAGGCUUGUUUUUAAAUUAUAUGUACAGAAAUUUACAGGAUAAAU
rnacentral:lncRNA from 1 species